rnacentral:snRNA from 1 species
AAAAUCAAAAUUGUGUUACGGU